GCAUAUUUAAUGUGCUAAAAUAUGAUUAGCGAAACAAAUAAUUUAAUUAUCUUUUAAACUAAAAAGCAAAAGAUUAGACGUAAUAAAUAGCUUGAUAAUUUUAUUUUACAUCCAAACAUAAUGUUCAUACAUUAACAAAAAAAAUAUACGAUGCCAAUUUGAACCAUGAUUACUCUAUUGCUUCUACACCAAUUACUCAAUUAAGUCUCUGAUUUUGAUUGUUGGGCUAUGUUUUCUGAGAUAGUUUCUAUUAUAGAGUUGGC
rnacentral:lncRNA from 1 species